rnacentral:sRNA from 1 species
UUUUUUAUUAUUAUUAUAUAAUAAUAUUAUAAAUAUUUUAUAAAUUUUUUUUACAAAAACCCGGAUAUAUUUUUAUUUUAACGAAAAUAAUUUCGAUUAUAAUGUUAAUAAAAUUAUUUACGCAAUUUUGUUUUUAAAAGGCGACGCGUUCGCCUGGUUCGAACCAAUUUUGCGAAAUUAUUUGGAUUAUAAUAAAAAAAAACCGUAAAAUUAAAACCAAUUAUAUUUUCGACAAUUACAAUAAUUUCGAAAAAUAUUUUAGGGAAAUAUUCGGUAAUUUAAACGAAGAACGCACGGUUAAACGUAAAUUAGUGCGUUUUAUUUAAAUUAAAUUAAUAUCCAAAUAUACCAGUAAAUUUCGACAAAUUACCGCCAAAUUAUUAUAGGGUAAAAAAACCCUAAUAAUACGUUUUUAUACGGAAUUUAAAAGAAAAUUAAAAAUAAAUUAAUUAAAAAAAAACGACCCAAUAUAUUAAUAAAAUAUAUGGAAUUAACGGUUAAAAUCGAUAACCGAUUAUACGAACGGAAAUUGGAACGACGCGAAAAACGCAGCGCAUAAAAUUUAAUUUUGCGAUAAACCAAUAUAGGACGCAAAUAUUAAUAUCCCAAACCGUUUCGCUAAUAUAAUACCGCGUACGGUAUAUAUAACGGAUUUAUGGAUUUAAACGCAAUUUAGCACCGAUAAUUU